AAUAGAUACCCUGGUAGUCCACGCCGUAAACGAUGAGUGCUAAGUGUUAGGGGGUUUCCGCCCCUUAGUGCUGCAGCUAACGCAUUAAGCACUCCGCCUGGGGAGUACGGUCGCAAGACUGAAACUCAAAGGAAUUGACGGGGGCCCGCACAAGCGGUGGAGCAUGUGGUUUAAUUCGAAGCAACGCGAAGAACCUUACCAGGUCUUGACAUCCCACUGACCGCUAUGGAGACAUAGUUUUCCCUUCGGGGACAGUGGUGACAGGUGGUGCAUGGUUGUCGUCAGCUCGUGUCGUGAGAUGUUGGGUUAAGUCCCGCAACGAGCGCAACCCUUGAUCUUAGUUGCCAUCAUUUAGUUGGGCACUCUAAGGUGACUGCCGGUGACAAACCGGAGGAAGGUGGGGAUGACGUCAAAUCAUCAUACCCCUUAUGACCUGGGCUACACACGUGCUACAAUGGACGGUACAAACGGUUGCCAACCCGCGAGGGGAGCUAAUCCGAUAAAACCGUUCUCAGUUCGGAUUGUAGGCUGCAACUCG
rnacentral:rRNA from 1 species